GGGCUUCCGUUCCCAGCGCGGGAUUCUGGAGGGAAAUUGAGGGAGACUUGGAAACCGCGCCAGGCCCAACGGGUACCUAGAAGGGAGACAAAGCCAGGCCUGCUGCCCAGUUUGAGCUCUGGGAAGAAGAGGAGCAGGCCGGGACGCCCACCGAGGUAUCCCAGAGGUGACAGAACUUGAUCUGGGCCUGGAAGGGGAAGAAUUCGGGAAAAGCAACGUGGGGCAUUCCAGUAGUAAUUGAUAGAAAUAUUACGUGGGAUAGGAUUUAUUCUCUCCACACUUCUGAACCAAUGAAUAGAAAAUGGGAAGCAAAACUGAAGCAAAUUGAAGAACGAGCAUCUCAUUAUGAGAGGAAACCGUUGUCCUCAGUGUAUAGACCAAGAUUGUCCAAGCCAGAAGAACCACCCUCCAUCUGGAGACUAUUUCAUCGACAAGCUCAAGCUUUUAAUUUUGUUAAAAGCUGUAGAGAAGUAAUUUCCUCCUCUUCCUCUUCUUCUUCCUCCUCUUCCACUUCCUCUUCUUCUUUCUUCUUCUUCUUCAUUAUAAUUUCAGUUCUUUAAAAAAAAAAAUCUAUUAUUUGUCUUCAUUUCAGGCCAUGUAUUCUACCAAGAAAAUUUAAUGGCAAUCUUAAUGGCAUUUGAUUUAGGAAAAAUAUUCCUGUGAAUCAUUAACCAUUUAAUUUAUAUUAGUAAUGAAAAAGAAUGACACAUCUAGUACCAAUUAGUUUUUAAAAAUUGUGAUGAUAUUUAAAUGAAGCUUUAUGCUUAGAGGGAGGGGAACCAUAUUUAUUUCAACACAGUAAGCAAG
rnacentral:sRNA from 1 species